rnacentral:rRNA from 1 species
CCUACGGGGGGCAGCAGUGGGGAAUAUUGCACAAUGGGGGAAACCCUGAUGCAGCGACGCCGCGUGAGUGAAGAAGUACUUCGUUACGUAAAGCUCUAUCAGCAGGGAAGAAAUACUGACCUUACGGUCAGCAGACGGUACCUGAGUAAGAAGCCCCGGCUAACUACGUGCCAGCAGCCGCGGUAAUACGUAGGGGGCAAGCGUUAUCCGGAUUUACUGGGUGUAAAGGGAGCGUAGACGGGGGGCCAAGUCUGAAGUGAAAUGCCGCAGCUUAACUGCGGAACUGCUUUGGAAACGGGCGAGCUAGAGGACUGGAGAGGUAGGCGGAAUUCCUAGUGUAGCGGUAAAAUGCGUAGAUAUUAGGAGGAACACCGGUGGCGAAGGCGGCUUACUGGACCGUAACUGACGUUGAGGCUCGAAAGCGUGGGGAGCAAACAGGAUUAGAUACCCGGGUAGUC